rnacentral:rRNA from 1 species
AUGAAUUGGCUAGGUUGGAACUGUCGUGGGGCGGGGAACCACUCAGUUCAUGAACUCGCGUCUCCUUUUAGGACACACUCCCCAAAUCUUGUGUUCUUGUGUGAGACUAGACAAAAUAAAGAUAAGAUGUAUCGUUUGCGUAAUAGAUUAGGGCUUUCUAGUUUUGAAGGAGUCAGUAGUAAUGGUCGUAGUGGUGGCCUAGCACUAUUUUGGCAUGAGUCUAUGUACGUCGAUGUGCAAGAAGCAAAUGAAAGAUUGAUUGAUGUGUACUUGCGUGUGUCCUCGGACAGGCCACUAUGGAGAGCUACUUUUGUUUAUGGCGGACCGAGAGUAGAGAAUAGGCAUAGGAUGUGGGAUAAGCUCAAAGGUCUACAUGCUCAGAUCACACUGCCAUGGGUGAUUAUCGGUGACUUCAAUGAGGCUAUCUGGGAUUUUGAACAUCAAUCGGAAACUCCGAGACCUCUUGGCCAAAGGAUUAUUUUUCGGGAUGCACUUGAAGCUUGUGGUCUAACUGAUCUUGGUUUUUCAGGUCACCCCUUCACAUAUGAUAAUAGGCGGAGCAGCCGGGCGAACGUCCAAGUUCGGCUGGAUAGAGCGGUGGCGUCCAACGCCUGA